UAUUAUUUGAUUCUUCUCCGCCUGCUUUUCCUUUCAAAGCAUUCCAGAAACUGCUAGAAAUUCUGUAGUUCCUCUGUUCUAUAUCUUUACCGCCAGAUUUUCUCCGUGUCGUUCCAACAAGGAACAUAGAUUUCAAUCACGACCACCAGAAACCCUAGAUUCCGAACGACGUUGUAUAAGGUUGAGUUCUUCUACCCAUGGCUUCAACCUCCGCUUCAUCUUCUACUUCCUCAUCCUCUCAAUUCACCUACUCAAACGCUUCCUAUUUUCCUCUGCCCUUCCACCUUCAACAGUCUGAUCCAAUGGCCGCUGUUUCUCAGUACCCUAAGCCCUACGUUGCCCCUCCUCCGCCGCCUGUCCAAGUACCUGUGCCACCCGUCAAGAUUCCGGCUGUGGCUCCUGUGUACCCGGCUCCGGCGCCUGUUGCCGGCGUCUACUCGCUCCCGCAGUAUCAGCAGGCUCAACAGUUAUUCCAAAGGGAUGCACAGACAAUCACUCCUGAAGCUCUUGAGAGUGUAAAAGCUGCCCUUGCCAGCAGUGAAAUUGAGCACAAAGCUGAGACAAAGAAGAAAGCAAUUCCCCGUAAAGCUGCUGGUCAAACUUGGGAGGAUCCAACGCUUGCAGAGUGGCCAGAAAAUGAUUAUCGUUUAUUUUGUGGUGAUCUUGGCAAUGAGGUGAAUGAUGAUGUUCUUUCAAAAGCAUUUUCACGAUUUCCUUCCUUCAAUAUGGCUAAAGUUGUCAGAGAUAAGCGGACAGGAAAAACCAGGGGCUAUGGAUUUGUUAGCUUUUCCAACCCUUUAGACCUUGCAGCAGCACUUAAGGAAAUGAACGGAAAAUAUGUUGGAAAUAGGCCAAUCAAACUACGUAAGAGCAAUUGGAGGGAGAGGACAGAUUUUGAAGCCUUGGAAAGACAAAAGAACCAUAUACAAAAGAAACCAAAGCUUUCAAAGAAGAGUGUAUUACAUAAGUGAGCACCAGAAGAGAUGGACCUGAUGAUAGUAAGCCAAAUUGGGACGAAUUUCUAUGCACUUUGAGGUCCUUGCAAUGUGGUUCCUGUUAUGCCUAUGAACUGGCAAAACUAAAUAUACAGGAUGUUAGAAGGGGAGGGGCUUGAUAUACAAUCAUGGUAGGUUUUAAAUUGAAAGAGAGAAGGGAGAUGAAGGGAGUAACGUCUAUUUUCUGAACUUGUGCUUGGAUGGGGAUGUGAAUGGGCUUGCAAGCAUUUAGGGUUAAUUAUUAUAUGAAAUAUAUUUGCUACAUGUAAUUGUUUGAAAGCUAAACAUAUUGCUUAAUUGGAAAUUAGGAUUUCUAACUCCAUAGUUUAGGCCUAUGUGGAAGCCACUGCCCUUUAACAUUUUUUUUUUCUUUCUCAUACCCUGAGAUUUAGUGUAAUCGGAUCCAUCUUCUACUUGAGAAAGGGGUAUGGGGUAGAAACAACAAGAGGAUUAAGAGGUGAUAAAUUGCGUUGGCAUUGUGCUUGGUGUCACAUUUUCUGAUUAUGAAUGACAGUUGGAUAAGAUGACAUCUGAAUGGAAUUAAGAUAAUAUCUAUUGUAAUUUAUCCAAUAAA